ACAAGACAAAGACCUUACUUGCAAACUACCAUACAUAUCUUUUAAAAAGGAUGCUAAGUUAAGAAGUUUAGAUAAAUCUACAAUAUAUUAUCAUCAAACCAAAGGAAGGAUAAUUAUUUAAAAGAAUAAGUUAUGUUAUGAUACAUAUAUAGAUUUGGAUGACAUCACUUCAGGUGGUUUUACCAGUCAGGACUAACAGGGAUAUUAACCAAAACAAUGAAAAAAAGCUCAAAUAAAUUUGAUCCUAAUAACAAGAAUGUUGUUUAUGCAUAUGCUAACUAUAUAGUUAUUUUCAUGGACUUAAAUAGAUUAGUUUUUAUGUAUUUAUUGAUAGUAAUUAAUAUUUUUUGGUUCAUAUUGUAAUUACUAAUAAAAAGUAAAGAAUAUAAUGUAAGCAUGUAAAGUUAUAUUUAAAAAUUUGGUCUUAUACUGUCAGUUAUAAAUAAAAGUGUGUGAUUUAAAUUUGAUUUUUAUACAUGGCAUAAAAUUGUUAAGAUUCGUUUGAAGUUUUACAUAUUGUCGAGGUAAAAUUAUGCCUACUUAAUUUAUGUAUAACAAUAAUUACAGUUAUUUCAAUGUUAAAUUUAUAGCAGUAUAACUUUUUUAUAAUAAUGAUACUUAAACAUUAUGACUAUGACACUUGUUGUUUUAAAAAUAUAACAUUAAAUUGCAGAGCAAAAUAUAUUUUAAUUGAAUUAUGUGGUAUUAACUUGCUUUUAUUCAACUAAUAAUAAAUUUGUUGUAUAAAAAUGACUCCAUAACAUACAAACCUUAAUUAUACACCACACAUAAAGAGCCCCUAUGCGUUCCAAGCUUCUUUCUAAGUUAUUUAUAAAAUAAGUGCACAAUUACAUACCUAAAAUGCUGAAACUACCUGAAGUAAUACUAACUGAAACAAUCUUUCUAUCAAUAUAUUAAUAUAUUUCAAAAAUAGCAGGUAUGUAUCAUAUCAAUUUAAUUAUUACAUUUAUUUGUUUCAACCAUGGUUCAAAAUUUUCUCGUAUAAAAGCCGGCCUUCAAAUUUAAGUUUGUAGCUUAUUCAUAGUUCCAAAGACUUUCGUUAAAUCAUGCUUAUUUGUCAAAACUAACUACAGCAUAACUGGUAUAAUAGGGAAAGUUUACUUAUGGUAUAGGUAUCCCGUUCUCAUCAACAAACAAAGUUUUUCCAAUUGUUUCGACUGAAUUAAGUACUAAAAUUCUAAAUGUUAUUCCAACUUUAUUUCUUCUUACCUAUUAACUUACUUCUGUUGGCGUACUUUGCGCUAAAAGGUAACAUAAAAUAAAU